rnacentral:misc_RNA from 1 species
GCAACCAUCGCUGCGCAUUUCCGUUUCGCCAUCUUUUUAUCUUGGAAGCGUGCAGUUUCGCGUCUUCUCUUCUAUCGUGAAGUUUUACGGAACAUUGACUUGGUUCUCGCACGAGCCGCAAAAUGCCGGGUUUUAGCAGUGUUGGCACAUUUAAGAUCUUCAUUGGUAAUUUAGCUGACAAAACUUCGAACGCUGACAUCAAGCCAUUGUUUGAGAAAUAUGGCAAAGUCGUGGAAUGCGACGUGGUAAAGAAUUAUGGCUUUGUGCAUAUGGAAAAUGAGGAAGCAGGUCGGAACGCUAUACAGAAUUUGAAUGGUCAUAUGGUUCAUGGGCAACCAAUAAAAUGUGAGGCAGCGAAGAGUCGCAAGGGACCUAACACUCCCACGACGAAAAUCUUCGUUGGUAAUCUCACAGACAACACGAAGGCACCGCAAGUGCGCGAGUUGUUUGCCAAGUAUGGUACGGUCGUUGAGUGCGACAUUGUUAGAAACUACGGUUUCGUUCAUCUGGAAGCAACGGGGGACGUGAAUGAUGCUAUCAAGGAGCUGAAUGGACAAAUCGUCGAUGGACAGCCGAUGAAGGUCCAGAUUUCUACCAGUAGGGUGAGGCAGAGGCCAGGGAUGGGAGAUCCGGAACAAUGCUACCGAUGCGGACGAGGCGGUCACUGGUCCAAGGAGUGUCCCAAGGGUGGAAUGGGAGGUGGACCGGAUAGGAACGGAUAUAGAGACCGAAUGUUUGGACGUGAUCCCUAUCCUCCACCACCGCCACCACCUUUCCUUCGGGACCGGCUCAUGGGUGGUGGCCGCUUCGGGGACUACGAAAGCUACUACGACAGGCGAGGCUUCGAGGACACCAGGGAUCUCUACGAGAGGCGGUUUACGGGUAUGACAGGGCCCUGUGACAUGGGAAGUUCCAUGUGCGGGCUAGACUUUCCACCAAUGACAAUGCCACCCCCAAGACGAGACCCAAUGCCUCCUAUGCCUCCUCUAGGUAUGGGAUCCAUGCGCGACACUGGCUUCUCCCGUGGUAACGAGUAUGGAAUGUUCAGCCGCCGAUCCCCCCCUCCUAGUGGCAACAACGGCCGGUUCAGUGCACCUCAGGCGUACCAUCUUUGUCCAUGAACGCGGGCAACCCUAGAGAGACAGUCCCGGGUCAGCGUUCAAGUCGUACAAGAAUCAUCUAUGUGUGGCUGAAAGGACAUUCGGUGAUUCUGGCAUAUCCUAUGUAUUCCGCGACACCCUCGGUGCGUUUACGUGUCAUUUUGAGUCGAAAAAAAUAAAGGAAUUGGAACUCAGCGACGCGGCCGUUUUCUUCGGAUCCACUUAACUAAUUAUUCGAAA